rnacentral:rRNA from 1 species
GAUGAACGCUGGCGGCGUGCCUAAUACAUGCAAGUCGAGCGAACAAACGAGGAGCUCUCCUCUCUGCCGCUAGCGGCGGACGGGUAAUUCCCACGUAGCUAACUUAUCUAUAAGACUAACAUAAAUUAACGAACCCGAAGCCAAUACAGGUUAAUAUAUAGAACAGCAUGGAUCAUCAGUGCUAACGCUUUCAGAUGACACUUAUUCAUGGUUCCUCGCCGCAUUAGCUAGUUGGUAAGGUAACGGCUUACCAAGGCGACGAUGCGUAGCUGACCUGAGAGGAUGAUCAGUCACACUGGAACUGAGACACGGUCCAGACUCCUACGGGAGGCAGCAGUAGGGAAUCUUGCACAAUGGGCGAAAGCUUGACGGAGCAACGCCGCGUGAGUGAUGAAGGUCUUCGGAUCGUAAAACUCUGUUAUUAGGGAAGAAGGAAUGUGUAAGUAACUAUUCACGUCUUGACGUUACCUAAACAGAAAGCCACGGCUAACUUCGUG